rnacentral:rRNA from 1 species
ACGAACGCUGGCGGCGUGCUUAACACAUGCAAGUCGAACGGAAAGGCCCUGCUUGCAGGGUACUCGAGUGGCGAACGGGCGAGUAACACGUGGGUGAUCUGCCCUGCACUUCGGGAUAAGCCUGGGAAACUGGGUCUAAUACCGGAUAGGAGCCAUUUUUAGUGUGAUGGUUGGAAAGUUUUUUCGGUGUAGGAUGAGCUCGCGGCCUAUCAGCUUGUUGGUGGGGUAAUGGCCUACCAAGGCGGCGACGGGUAGCCGGCCUGAGAGGGUGGACGGCCACAUUGGGACUGAGAUACGGCCCAGACUCCUACGGGAGGCAGCAGUGGGGAAUAUUGCACAAUGGGCGCAAGCCUGAUGCAGCGACGCCGCGUGGGGGAUGACGGCCUUCGGGUUGUAAACUCCUUUCGCUAGGGACGAAGCUUUUUGUGACGGUACCUAGAUAAGAAGCACCGGCUAACUACGUG